AUUGAACGCUGGCGGCAGGCCUAACACAUGCAAGUCGAACGAGUGGCGGACGGGUGUAUAAUGUCGGGAAAACUGCGUGAUGGAGGGGGAACACCACUGGAAAGUGGCGCUAAUCCCGCAUCCUCUGGGAUGUCCCCAGAUGGGUUUAGCUAGUGGGUGGGGUAACGGCUCACCUAGGCGACGAUCCCUAGCUGGUCUGAGAGGAUGACCAGCCACACUGGAACUGAGACACGGUCCAGACUCCUACGGGAGGCAGCAGUGGGGAAUAUUGCACAAUGGGCGCAAGCCUGAUGCAGCCAUGCCGCGUGUGUGAAGAAGGCCUUCGGGUUGUAAAGUACUUUCAGCGGGGAGGCGUUACCCGCAGAAGAAGCACCGGCUAACUCCGUGCCAGCAGCCGCGGUAAUUC
rnacentral:rRNA from 1 species